rnacentral:rRNA from 1 species
AGAGUUUGAUCCUGGCUCAGGAUGAACGCUAGCUACAGGCUUAACACAUGCAAGUCGAGGGGCAGCAUGAACUUAGCUUGCUAAGUUUGUAUGGCGACCGGCGCACGGGUGAGGUAACACGUAUCCAACCUGCCGAUGACUCGGGGAUAGCCUUUCGAAAGAAAGAUUAAUACCCGAUGGCAUAGUUCUUCCGCAUGGUGGAACUAUUAAAGAAUUUCGGUCAUCGAUGGGGAUGCGUUCCAUUAGGUUGUUGGCGGGGUAACGGCCCACCAAGCCUUCGAUGGAUAGGGGUUCUGAGAGGAAGGUCCCCCACAUUGGAACUGAGACACGGUCCAAACUCCUACGGGAGGCAGCA